rnacentral:rRNA from 1 species
GGGGGGUGCAAGCGUUACUCGGAAUGACUGGGCGUAAAGGGUCUGUAGGUGGUUUGUUUAGUCAGAUGUGAAAGCCCAGGGCUCAACCUUGGAACUGCAUUUGAUACUUGCAAACUAGAGUACGGUAGAGGAAUGGGGAAUUUCUGGUGUAGCGGUGAAAUGCGUAGAGAUCAGAAGUAACACCAAUGGCGAAGGCAACAUUCUGGACCGAUACUGACACUGAGGGACGAAAGCGUGGGG